CGCAUACAUGCAUGUGUUCACCUUCAGAGCACACAAACGCCGACUGUGAAACAUGCAGAAAUGAGAACAAGAUAUGAGGAACAUGAGAAACUGAAAUGAGUUCACCGUGUUGUUGUGCGAAGGGUCCGUAGGGAUUGGUUUUAAUUUAAUGUAUCGGUGAAACCUGAGACUUUUUACGUUUAGAUAAUUGGACUGUUGAGUGACUCCCUCCCAAGUUUCGUUCAGUCGAGCUGGACCUUUCUUUGCUAGAGAGGUUUUACACCAGGAAAACAACUUUAUUUGUCCAGCACAUCCUGUCUUUCUGCAAACUUUCCCCCCCGAAGCGAACAAGCACGUGCGUGUGUGUCCGUGGGAGUCAACGCGUUUAAUUGCAGAGCCACAUUUGCUGAUUAAUUUUCGUUGCUAAUAUUUUCCCCCCACCUCCUCCGCAGGAGACCUCUGCCGAUCCUUCCACGGUCUCACAGAAAUGUGCAAUAAAGUCUAAUGUGAUUUGCCGUUUGUGACGUCCCAUUAAUAUUAAUCACCUUCAUCUCGACUCGUUAGGGAUUCAGAGACUGGAGGGUCCCGCGUUGGUGGGCCAGGAGGGAUCACUUCAGGAGAAAGUUUCUGAGAUCCGCAUCAGCAUAACAAGGACCCAAGAUCUAAAGCCUGUGGAUAAACUAUGGGAUGAAGAGAAGAGAGCAGAAGAGAUGUCUGGAGACUCAUCGGAUCAAGAGACUGAAUGAUCAGAUCACUUCAUCUGGGAUCCUGCACAAAGGAUUAAAAGCUGUGAUUUUGUGUUCGAAACAAUACGACAUGUCUUUACAGUAUUUGAGUUUAACUGGGACUUUUUCCUCAAUCUAAAGUAAUUACUUCCAAUUUUUGACAUCAAGGUAAAUGUGAGAGACGGGAGAACAAGAGCCUGUAACGUGUUAGUAACACUGAGAAACACAGCCAUUAAAAAGGCUGGGACUGUAA